rnacentral:rRNA from 1 species
UACGAAGGGGGCUAGCGUUGCUCGGAAUCACUGGGCGUAAAGCGCACGUAGGCGGAUUGCUAAGUCAGGGGUGAAAUCCUGGAGCUCAACUCCAGAACUGCCUUUGAUACUGGAGUCUGAGUCCGGGAGAGGUGAGUGGAACUGCGAGUGUAGAGGUGAAAUUCGUAGAUAUUCGCAAGAACACCGGCGGCGAAGGCGGCUCUCUGGACCGGUAUUGACGCUGAGGCGCGAAAGCUAGGGGAGCAAACGGG